CAAAAAUCUAACCCCUAUUAGAUUUCCAUAUACAGAAGCUUCACUUUCACUCCCUUUGCUUCUGCACCACCACCUUAUACUAUUAACUUUGACCAUUAAUACUUUUAACAGUACAAGAAGAACUUGUUUGAAUUCUCCUACCCAGGAUGACGACUACGCUGCCGUGUUGGCCCCCCCACUGUUGUCCUUAUGAUCACCGAAGAUACGUUGUCGAAAGUCGGAGACCAUGAGCGGGAGACCCUUGAUGAGAGAAACUUUGGGUUCCCACCCAAGAAGAUCCUUAGCUUUGGUGAUGUCUGGCUUCCUCUUGUGAGGGUCGUCCUCGGUGUUCGGCCUGUACUCUAUCUUUGCAUCUGGGUCAAUCGUUUCCUGCACAACCUUGGCAAGUUCAAGCAUGG
rnacentral:misc_RNA from 1 species